GCGUCGUUAGCUCAGUUGGUAGAGCAACGGCCUUUUAAGCCGAUGGUCGGGGGUUCGAAUCCCUCACGACGCA
rfam:Parcubacteria (Moranbacteria) bacterium GW2011_GWE2_47_10 TX75_C0006, whole genome shotgun sequence.